AGUGGAAUCACUGGAUCAAAUGGUGGUUCCAUGCCAAGUUUUCUGAGGAAUCUCCAUAUUGCUUUCCAUAGUGGUUGUACCAAUUUGCAGUCCCACCAGCAAU
rnacentral:pre_miRNA from 1 species